AUCGUCAAAAUUGUGAAUGAUAUACGCUCCAAGGCGCUCUCUCACCUGCAGUUCAAGGUACUGUUGGAUGAGAUGGAUGUGCAAUAUGGUGAUGUGUUGUACCACCAGGAGGUUAGAUGGCUGAGCAGAGGAAAAGUUCUCAGGAGAUUUUUUGAUCUGCGUGAUGAGAUCAGAGCUUUUCAGGAAAGCAAGAUUGGUAGUAUUCAAGAGCCCAUGGAUAAGAAAUGACUUUCUGACCUGGCUUUCCUGGUGGACGUCACAGAGCUGCUCAAUGUUUUAAAUGUUCAGCUCCAGGGAAAAGACCAGAUUAUCACCCAGCUUUUUUAUCACAUCAGAGCCUUCAAACAAAAACUACUGCUGCUCAGAAGACAUCUCUCAGCAGGAAAUUUAGCCAAUUUUCCCUGUUUUAGAGAGGCAGGCAUGAUGAAAGAGAAGGUACCUGAGUAUGAUG